rnacentral:tRNA from 1 species
GCGGCGCCUCGCUCUAUGAGCACCGCUCUCCUUAAAGCGGGUGUCGCGGGUUCGAAUCCUGCCGUGGCACCA